rnacentral:rRNA from 1 species
UACGAAGGGGGCUAGCGUUGCUCGGAAUCACUGGGCGUAAAGCGCACGUAGGCGGAUCAUUAAGUCGGGGGUGUAAUCCUGGAGCUCAACUCCAGAACUGCCUUCGAUACUGAAGAUCUCGAGUCCGGGAGAGGUGAGUGGAACUCCGAGUGUAGAGGUGAAAUUCGUAGAUAUUCGGAAGAACACCAGUGGCGAAGGCGGCUCACUGGCCCGGUACUAACGCUGAGGUGCGAAAGCGUGGGGAGCAAACAGG